rnacentral:rRNA from 1 species
CCUACGGGAGACAGCAGUUGGGAAUAUUGCACAAUGGGGGAAACCCUGAUGCAGCGACGCCGCGUGAGUGAAGAAGUAUUUCUGUAUGUAAAGCUCCAUCAGCAGGGAAGAAAAUGACGGUACCUGUUUAAGAAGCCCCGUCUAACUACGUGCCAGCAGCCGCGGUAAUAUGGAGGCGGCAACCGUUAUCCGGAUUUACUGGGCGUAAAGGGAGUGUAGACGGCAGCACAAGUCUGGAGUGAAAUGCCGGGGCUUAACCCCGGAACUGCCGUGGAAACUGUGCAGCUAGAGUGCAGGAGAGGUAAGUGGAAUUCCUAGUGUAGCGGUGAAAUGCGUAGAUAUUAGGAAGAACACCAGUGGCGAAGGCAGCUUACUGGACUGUAACUGACGUUGAGGCUCGAAAGCGUGGGGAGCAAACAGGAUUAGAUACCCCAGUAGUC